AUGGAUGUGAUGAUGUUUUUCCCAUAUGAUCGAAACUGAAAUUAUCCAGCGUCGUUCUCAUUUAUUUGAGAAACCAAGCCAGGAUUCUACCGAUCCAU